rnacentral:lncRNA from 1 species
AGCGGAUACUCUGGCAUACAUUCAAAGUAACUUGCUUGAACAACGAUACAGUUGUCCCAGUGAGGAUUAUGGCAUUCAGUGUGUACAAGCAACAUGUAAACUUCUAGAGAAGAUCUGCAAAAGAAUUAAUUACUACAGUCAUGCACAAAAUUUCACUGAUAUUCCUGUUGGUUGCAUGAACCUAGUGGCCUCCGUAUCAGGAUUUGCCCAGGUAUUCCAUUCUGCAAUUUUUGUUUUAAAUAGCUCAUUAAAGCCAGUAGAAUUGACUCAGUAUGUCUAAAUAUUUGUUCAACCUUAAGGCGAGACAACAAGCUGACACUUUUCCUGAGAAGACUCUUGUGUUACUCAAUGAGGCCAAGAAAUCUGUGAGGACAUGGAUCAGACAAACUUUCAAAGGCAGACUUUUGGACAGUAGCUAUAUGUCGGCUGUCAGAUUCACAACAGAGAUUGAGAUGUGGAAUAAUAUUAUAGCCAUAGAUUUCAUGAGUAAGGACUUCACUAAAGAAUGGAGAGAGACAUUUACACUGGACUUUGAGGGGAAAUACCAGCAGGAAGAUAAUCUGGAUCAAAUUGAGGUUUAUUGCUCAAAGAUUGAGAAACUUAAUGGCUCCCAGCCUUAUUUGGUGGAUAGUGUAGAGAAGUGUGCUCUCCAGGCUGUUACCACAAUAUGCCAGGUAAAGGUCUUUCACUUC